GAUUUUGAAAUCCUCUUCCGUAAUGUGGAUACAUAUUAACUAUUUACUAAAAAACCUUUAUUUCAGUAAUAAAAUAAAGUUUAGCAAAUUUUAAAGCUAUUUUUCAAAUAUUAUUUGAAUAGCGCACAAAAACAGUACGCAACUGUCAUGGCGUCGGCUAUGACGUCACGUUUAGGUAAACACGUCAAUGUCAUUGCAUUGUUCAAUUCAAUUCAUAUGUGCAUUGAAGGAAACAAACAUAUUUCGUGUGUUAAAAAUGAAUUCUAAAGUUUAUAAGUGGUGUGCAGUACCUCAGUGCAAAAACACAUCCAUAAAAACACCCAACAAGGUGUCUGUACAUGUUCCAAACAAAAAAAUAAUGAGAGUUAAAUGGUUAAAGCUCGCACGGCGAGACCCGAACGACGUAAUCACGAAUUCGCCACUUUAUUUCUGUGAGGACCACUUUGAUUUACCUAAUGAUAUGGGAAAUUACUUGCAAUAUCAUGUGAUGGGGUCCGUAUCACAAGUACGUAUGAUACCAGGAUGUAUGCCCAAAAAAUUUAUAUGCCAAUCAGACAGGAAAACUCGAACAUCUGAGACAACAGAGCGACCCUACAUUGCUAAAAAACGAAAGAUGAUGAUUCUUGAAGAGUGUGAAAGGAAAUUAGAAGAAAAAGAUACAGUUACAAAACAGGUGCUUCGCGCUUCAAAAAUAAACAAUGAUAUUUGACAA